AUACGUAGGGUGCAAGCGUUAAUCGGAAUUACUGGGCGUAAAGCGUGCGCAGGCGGUUUUGUAAGACAGUGGUGAAAUCCCCGGGCUCAACCUGGGAACUGCCAUUGUGACUGCAAAGCUGGAGGGCGGCAGAGGGGGAUGGAAUUCCCCGUGUAGAAGUGAAAUGCGUAGAUAUGCGGAGGAACACCGAUGGCGAAGGCAAUCCCCUGGGCCUGCACUGACGCUCAUGCACGAAAGCGUGGGGAGCAAACAGGAUUAGAUACCCUGGUAGUCCACGCCCUAAACGAUGUCAUCUGGUUGUUGGGGAUUUAUUUUCUCAGUAACGAAGCUAACGCGUGAAGUUGACCGCCUGGGGAGUACGGCCGCAAGGUUAAAACUCAAAGGAAUUGACGGGG
rnacentral:rRNA from 1 species